UCGGGAAUAUUGCGCAAUGGAGGAAACUCUGACGCAGUGACGCCGCGUGCAGGAAGAAGGUUUUCGGAUUGUAAACUGCUUUAGACAGGGAAGAAAAAGGACAGUACCUGUAGAAUAAGCUCCGGCUAACUACGUGCCAGCAGCCGCGGUAAUACGUAGGGAGCGAGCGUUAUCCGGAUUUAUUGGGUGUAAAGGGUGCGUAGACGGGAAAAUAAGUUAGUUGUGAAAUCCCUCGGCUUAACUGAGGAACUGCAACUAAAACUGUUAUUCUUGAGUACUGGAGAGGAAAGUGGAAUUCCUAGUGUAGCGGUGAAAUGCGUAGAUAUUAGGAGGAACACCAGUGGCGAAGGCGACUUUCUGGACAGAAACUGACGUUGAGGCACGAAAGUGUGGGGAGCAAACA
rnacentral:rRNA from 1 species